GAACGCUGGCGGCAGGCCUAACACAUGCAAGUCGAGCGCUCGUAGCAAUACGAGAGCGGCAGACGGGAGAGUAACACGUGGGAACGUGCCCUUCGGUUCGGAAUAACUCAGGGAAACUUGAGCUAAUACCGGAUACGCCCUUAUGGGGAAAGAUUUAUUGCCGAAGGAGCGGCCCGCGUCUGAUUAGCUAGUUGGUGAGGUAACGGCUCACCAAGGCGACGAUCAGUAGCUGGUCUGAGAGGAUGACCAGCCUCACUGGGACUGAGACACGGCCCAGACUCCUACGGGAGGCAGCAGUGGGGAAUAUUGGACAAUGGGCGCAAGCCUGAUCCAGCCAUGCCGCGUGGAUGAUGAAGGC
rnacentral:rRNA from 1 species